UGCAGGAACAGACACUGCUGCUGGGGGGUCAACUGGCAGCCCUUACCCAAGCCACCGACACAAAUGGCCCUGCCACCAUGGAGCCAGAAGAAAAGAACAAAUAGAAUUCAAACUGCCCUCAUUGGACACUGCCAAAUUGGAGACUUCCAUCGGGGCUAUGAGAAAAAUGAGAAAACCGUGGGAUUUAGAGGUUCAUUGACGUUCCUUGGCCACACAGAGCUUAAAAGUGGAGCUCUGCAGUUCCGAGGCUUCCGUGACGACUGUGAGGUUAUAGAGGUGGCCUGCCGUCAAUCCACGGAAAACGUAGGAGGUGAGGUGAUUAUCGACGACGACGUUGUGAACCCAGCUUCCCUUGUCCAGCAACAGCAACCUGAUUCGGUCCGCCUUCCCGGGGCCACGCAUCCAAGUUACCUGGAGGGAGUCUCUUUGGUGGAAAACCUGGAGGGCUUUCACCGGCGAUGGAACUGAUGGAGUAAAAGACCGGUCUUACCGGUCGAACCACUGAUGUGUACUGCUUGGGAACUUUUAUUUCCAGAAAUGGCUGUGAUGGCAAUGUUGUAUUUACUACCAGCAGUGAGGUUGAAGAAAGUCGUUUCUUUGAGGGAGCCACUCCCUGGGAUCAGAACGCUCUGAAGCUUCUCGUUCUCGUCAUCCGACAACUGAACUUCAUACUGGGUGACCUUCCCCAAAGACGGAGUCCACGUCACCCGCAGGCUGGUCGAAGUGGUCUUGUCUCUGUCCACUUCAAACCGAGAAGGAGGCAAGGGAUCUGGGAGGAAACCAAUCAGAGAAAGAACGUUUGAGCUGCCCAUUUUUAGACGGCGAUAUUUGUGCGGCGGGUCAACGCUUUGCCGCUUUCCAAAACAGGGUCUUUUCCUUGGGUUCUCAAGAUUGGAGGAAUUUAUCACGCCAGAAACACCGAUCCCUGUAGCUGAUCUGGCACUCGACCAGUGCAAAAUGGCCUAAACGACCAUGUAUGGCACAGCAAAGGUCUACUUCUAAAUAGUGUUCUAUCUGAUCAAAAUAGGCCUUACCCCUCCUAAAAGUUAAUGUGCCCCGAAAAUUAGUUACCUCACAAAACUAAUAAAUGCUAUCGGUGAUGAGAAAACA